UUGUGUGCACCCCCAGCUUUUGUAGCUGGUGGCCAGCAACCGUUUGCAAUGCCAAGCCAUAUCCCUCUUUUGCAACCUCCUAUCCCUGCUAACCGGCCCGUUCCAGUUCCAGGAUCUAAUGCUCUGUUCGGUUAAGCUCAUUCUAUGCGGAAUUGCCAAUGUCAGACCUAUGGAGUGUUUUUUC